rnacentral:rRNA from 1 species
ACGUAGGGUGCGAGCGUUAAUCGGAAUUACUGGGCGUAAAGCGUGCGCAGGCGGUUAUGUAAGACAGAUGUGAAAUCCCCGGGCUCAACCUGGGGACUGCCUUUGUGACUGAAUAACUAGAGUACGGCAGAGGGGGCUGGAAUUCCGCGUGUAGCGGCGAAAUGCGUAGUGAUGCGGAGGAACACCGAUGGCGAAGGCAGCCUCCUGGGCCAGUACUGACGCUCAUGCACGAAAGCGUGGGGAUCAAACAG